rnacentral:lncRNA from 1 species
AUAUUCACAUAUUCAAACUACCUAAUGUUGUAUCUUUUUAUGUUAAUUUUACUUUUGGGACGAAUAAAGAUGGACCUGGAUUGUGUUUUGAUGGUUUUUUGGAAGAAAAAAAAAACAUUUUUUUUGCGUAGUGGUCACCGGUGAACUGGAACGACUUCCUAAGCGUGUGAUGAAUGGCCGGAGAUGGAAGGGGGAGUGCGCUGCCAUGGGAUGGCAUCCAUAGCGGACGCAACAAGGUUGAAGAGGGCUGAGGGUGGCGCAAGAAAUUAGGAUUUAUAUUUUUUUUAUUUUUUUUUAUUCAAUUAUUUGUUAAUGUAUGUUAAAUGCUUAGUUAAUGUAAACAAUCAUUUAAUAAAUAUUAAUAAUGUGCUAAAAAAUAUUUAUAAUUAAAAUACUUAAUAAAUUGAAUAAAUAAUAG